rnacentral:rRNA from 1 species
CGAACGCAGGCGGACUGUUAAGUAGAAAGUGAAAGGUCGGAGCUCAACUCCAACAUUGCUUCCUAUACUGGCAGUCUUGAGUAGCGGAGAGGAAGGGGGAACGACACGUGUAGCGGUGAAAUGCGUUGAUAUGUGUCGGAACACCCAUGGCGAAAGCACCCUUCUGGACGCAAACUGACGCUCAGGUUCGAAAGCCAAGGUAGCGAACAGGAUUAGAUACCCUGGUAGUCUUGGCCCUAAACUAUGUUCACUAGGUGUCGGGGGGUUUCCCUCGGUGCCGCAGCUAACGCAUUAAGUGAACCGCCUGGGGACUACGGCCGCAAGGUUGAAACUCAAAGGAAUUGGCGGGGGCCCGCACAAGCGGUGGAGCAUAUGGCUUAAUUCGAUGCAACGCGAAGAACCUUACCAGGGCUUGACAUGUAUCUGCAAUCCCCCGAAAAGGGGCCGCUUUCGAAGGUGAUACACAGGUGGUGCAUGGCUGUCGUCAGCUCGUGUUGUGAAAUGGUUGGGUUAAGUUCCCCGCAACGAGCGCAACUCUCAUGUUUUGUUACCAGCGGAUAAUGCCGGGGACUCGAAACAAACUGCCUCUGUAAAGAGGAGGAAGGUGGGAACGACGUCAAGUCAUCAUGCCCCUUACGCCCUGGGCUGCACAUAUGCUACAAUGGCUGCGACAAUGGGUUGCUAUCCCGCGAGGGCUUGCUAAUCUCAAAAACGCAGUCUCAGUUCGGAUUGGAGUCUGCAACUCG